rnacentral:lncRNA from 1 species
UCAUCAUUCUGCACAGCAACGCGCACUUGCUGAUUAAAGUGCGAGACACCAAGGAGAACGGGUUCUAUGGCCAGGUGGGUUCCCCUCUGCUCCAUCUGUCCUAAGACUUGACCUCAUCUGUGAGUUCCUUCAGUCGUGCUUUUUUGCAGAGAGUUGGCCAAGGAAGAAAAGAGCUGUGCUGACAGCGCAGCUGAAGUCUUGAGGCUGUGAUGCAUUCCACAGGUCAAAGUGCCCAUCAAAGAUUUGGAGGAGGGCACACAUGUCCGGUCCUUCUCCCUUCUUGCUCCCAGAGACAGCGCCAUGACAGUUGCAUCGAUCACGGUAGGCCUCCUCACAGCCCUUGAAGGAUUCAUGUGCAUGACACAUUCUCUGUGCGGUUGCUCUGUGAAUUGAAGUCACAAUAUAAGACAAGAUCGCUGUGUAGGCGUCUGUCACCUACGAGUACUUGAGGGGCACCAAGGAUGAGGGGUCAUACAAUGGACCCUCUCGGGUGCUCAUCAACAAGC